rnacentral:tRNA from 1 species
GCCUGGUUAGCUCAAUCGGUAGAGCGUGAGACUCUUACAAGCAUACGAAAUCUCAAGGUUGCGGGUUCGACCCCCGCGCUGGGCU